UACGUAGGGGGCAAGCGUUGUCCGGAUUUAUUGGGCGUAAAGGGCGCGUAGGCGGCGGGGUAAGUCUGGUGUGAAAUCUCGGAGCUCAACUCCGAAAUUGCACUGGAUACUGCUCUGCUAGAGGGCUGGAGAGGAGAUCGGAAUUCACGGUGUAGCAGUGAAAUGCGUAGAUAUCGUGAGGAAGACCAGUGGCGAAGGCGGAUCUCUGGACAGCUCCUGACGCUGAGGCGCGAAGGCUAGGGGAGCAAACGGG
rnacentral:rRNA from 1 species